UGGUUCAAUGCUGUAGCUGAGGAGGCUGGUGUGGUUUGUUUGUCCUGCUCUGUGUGCUACUGCUGGGUGCUGUGAGGGGAAUUCAGGCGAGCUCUGACCUCGCGACAUGCCUUCUAUGUUUGAGAGAAUAAGAGCUGCACUGAGGAGACUGUAAGACUUCCCUGCAUGAAACUGAUGCAUUGACCUUUGAUGAUAUGCAUGUACACUUCACUCGGGAGGAGUGGUCCUUGCUGGAUCCAUCUCAGAAGAGACUUUACAAAGAUGUCAUGCUGGAGAACUACAGGAAUCUCACCGCUAUAGGCUACAAUUGGAAAGACCAUAACAUUGAAGAACAUUGUCAAAAUGAUAGAAGAUAUGGAAGGCAUGAAAGAACUCCUGCUGGAGAGAAACCCUAUGAAUAUGCACAAUGGGAUAAAUCCUUCAAAUGUCUCAGUCAUCUUCAAAAGCUUGAAAGAAACCAAACUAGAGACAGACACUCUGAAGUCUUUCAACAUAGUAAAGUGCUUGCGUGUCAAAGCACUCUCCAAAUAAAUAAAAGAACAGACACUGCACAGAAACCCUACAAAUCAAUGUGGUAAAGCCUUUUUACUUGCCAGCUAUCUUAGAAUUCAUGAAAGAACACAUACUGGAGAGAAACCUUACCAGUGUAAUCAAUGUGAUAAAGCCUUUACACAAAGGAGUCACCUUCAAAGCCAUAAAGUAGUACAUACUGGAGUGAGAUCCUACAUAUGUAAUCAGUGUAAUAAAGCCUAUCCACACCAGAGUUAUCUCCGAAAACAUGAAAGAACACAUACUGGAGAGAAACCUUAUUUAUGUAAUCUGUGUGAUAAAGCUUAUUCACAACUGAAUCUUCUCCGAAUACAUGAAAGAACACAUACUGGAGAGAAACCUUAUAUAUGUAACCAGUGUAAUAAAACCUUUGCACAGCUCAAGUAUCUUCGAGAACAUGAAAGAACACAUUCUGGAGAGAAACCUUACAAAUGUGAUCAAUGUGGUAAAGCCUUUUUACAUCCCAGCUGUCUUCGGGUACAUGAAAGAACACAUACUGGAGAGAAACCUUAUAUAUGUAACCAGUGUAAUAAAGCCUUUUCACAACAGAGUUGUCUCCGAAUACACAAAAGAACACAUACUGGAGAGAAGCCCUAUAAAUGUCAUCAGUGUGAUAAAGCCUAUUCGCAACAGAGUUGUCUCCAAAUGCA
ensembl:lincRNA